rnacentral:rRNA from 1 species
GAUGAACGCUGGCGGCGUGCUUAACACAUGCAAGUCGAACGGAAAGGCCCAAGCUUGCUUGGGUACUCGAGUGGCGAACGGGUGAGUAACACGUGGGUGAUCUGCCCUGCACUUCGGGAUAAGCCUGGGAAACUGGGUCUAAUACCGGAUAGGACGAUGGUUUGGAUGCCAUUGUGGAAAGUUUUUUCGGUGUGGGAUGAGCUCGCGGCCUAUCAGCUUGUUGGUGGGGUAAUGGCCUACAAGGCGUCGACGGGUAGCCGGCCUGAGAGGGUGUACGGCCACAUUGGGACUGAGAUACGGCCCAGACUCCUACGGGAGGCAGCAGUGGGGAAUAUUGCACAAUGGGCGCAAGCCUGAUGCAGCGACGCCGCGUGGGGGAUGACGGCCUUCGGGUUGUAAACUCCUUUCGCUAGGGACGAAGCGUUUUUGUGACGGUACCUGGAGAAGAAGCACCGGCUAACUACGUG